GGAGAGGUGGGUGAGCGGCUGAAACCGACGGUUUGCUAAACCGUUGUACUGGUUUACUCCGGUACCGAGGGUUCGAAUCCCUCCCUCUCCG
rfam:Elusimicrobia bacterium RIFOXYD12_FTLL_66_9 rifoxyd3_full_scaffold_13445, whole genome shotgun sequence.